GCGCGUCACGCCUGACAGGUAGGGCACCGGGCUCUUACCCCGGAGAAGACUGGGUUCGAGGCCCAGGGCGCGCA
rnacentral:tRNA from 1 species